CGUUACUCCCUCUUUUUUCUCAUCUCCCAAAUAAAAGUUUCUACUUAAUUCUUUUUCCCUUUUAAUCUCAAAAUUUGCCCCAAAAUUUCCCAUUUUCAGCAACACCAAGUAAAUACACCUACACUAAUCACACUUCUUUUUCCUUUUCAUUUCACUGCACUGAAUUCACUCACCAUAGCUACUCAUUUUCUCUCGAUUUGUUAGGGUUUCUUUUAAUUUUAGGGUUUCAAGGGAAACAUACAGUUUCCUUUUAAUUUUACUGGUGAUUUCUAUGGAGACGGAAACCCUUGAUGACAAGAAACCGGAGGAAGAGGAGGUGAAAGAGCGACUGAAACUUCCCAUUGAAUAAGAAAUCAAUAGAAGGAAAAAGAAAUCAGAUCUUUCUGAAUAAGAAGAAGAAAAAUCAGUACUUUCUUUCCAUUGAAGAACAAGAAGUGAAAGAGGAUAUCAAGGGAAAAUGUCAAGAGAUAAACUAAGAAGAGCCGCACUUCCUCCUGUUCAAAAGAAUAUUGAUAAAUUAGAAAAAGCUAUAAAUGAGGGUAAUUUCUAUGGAGCUCAGCAGAUGUACAAAUCAAUAAGUGCACGAGAAACCGAAGGAAACCUGAAGAACUUAAUGGGGGAAAAAGGUGAACAGUAGGAAGAUCCUAAUGCAAUUUGAGCAAGAUCAAAAGGAAACAAAAGAUAUUCUGUUGAAGUGCUUCAGGAAAAGUAUGAAAAGGCCAUUGCUGCGCUUGCUGAAAUGGAGAAAAGAGCAGUAAUGGCAGAAUCAAUGGAGGAGGGUACCUUACAUUACCAUUCUGGACAAAAUAAAGCUCAGCUGUCUCUUUCUCCACGGUGUGUAGUUGACUUCCCACUUUCAAAUCUUUUAUGCUUGGGUGAAAAACAUUUUAUAAUGGAUGAUAAAACCAAACCAGACCAGCUGGUUCAACUAAUUCUACAGAGAACCUGGUAGUUUGACAGUCAUAUAGGUAAGCUUAUUUGCAUACCAUUACAAGCCUAGUUGUAAGGUACUUUGUUCCAUUUUUUUGUACUUAAUUGCCACUUGAUUUUAUAUUCUAUAAGACACGAUACCCUAUUUGUUAACAACUUAAUAUCAAAUUGCAGAUAUGCUAUUGCUUUCCUAAAUUACAGAUAUUGCGCUGCUAUCGCUGGGACUGAUUACUGUGUUAUAAUAGCUGAUACUUGAAUGUCUACCGAUCACAAUAUCCUCACCGGUGACUACUCCAAAAUCUCCAAAACUUCAUUACUCAAAGGUAGGUUCUUGCAUGAAAGACCUGUUGAAGAGGAGAGACCACCUUCAGUGGCAGUGAGUGAAUUAAAUCAAUUAAGUCACUACUCAGAAGUAAAGUAUCCAUUAGCCUUUAGCCUGUUACUUUAUCAGAAUGUGUUAGAUUUCCUCAACAAUGUCUAAUUUGAGUUUAUAGAAUCAAUAAACUCAUGUAGUAAACAGUGGAUGUAGUAAACCCAUUUCAGUAUAAUUUCAAAGGGUUUUUGAAUUUC